UAGCUAGAAUUGACACAUGAGGACCUUUUC
rnacentral:piRNA from 1 species